rnacentral:rRNA from 1 species
GUAAGUAAGCUAUGAUCCAGAGAUUUCCGAAUGGGGGAACCCAAUAUCUUUUAUAGGAUAUUACUUUUCAGUGAAUACAUAGCUGAUUAGAGGUAGACGCAGAGAACUGAAACAUCUUAGUACCUGCAGGAAGAGAAAGAAAAUUCGAUUCCCUGAGUAGCGGCGAGCGAAACGGGAAGAGCCCAAACCAACAAGCUUGCUUGUUGGGGUUGUAGGACUCCAAUAUGGUAGUCUGUUAGUAUAGUUGAAGGAUUUGGAAAAUUCCGCUAAAGAGGGUGAAAGCCCCGUAGACGAAAUGCUGACAACACCUAGGAGGAUCCUGAGUACGGCGGAACACGAGAAAUUCCGUCGGAAUCCGCGGGGACCAUCCCGCAAGGCUAAAUACUCCCUAGUGACCGAUAGUGAACCAGUACCGUGAGGGAAAGGUGAAAAGCACCCCGGAAGGGGAGUGAAAUAGAUCCUGAAACCGUGUGCCUACAACAAGUCAAAGCUCGUUAAUGAGUGAUGGCGUGCCUUUUGUAGAAUGAACCGGCGAGUUACGAUUGCAUGCGAGGUUAAGUCGAAGAGACGGAGCCGCAGCGAAAGCGAGUCUGAAUAGGGCGAAUGAGUAUGUAGUCGUAGACCCGAAACCAUGUGAUCUACCCAUGUCCAGGUUGAAGGUGCGGUAAAACGCACUGGAGGACCGAACCCACGUACGUUGAAAAGUGCGGGGAUGAGGUGUGGGUAGCGGAGAAAUUCCAAACGAACUUGGAGAUAGCUGGUUCUCUCCGAAAUAGCUUUAGGGCUAGCCUCGGAAUUGAGAAUGAUGGAGGUAGAGCACUGUUUGGACUAGGGGCCCAUCUCGGGUUACCGAAUUCAGAUAAACUCCGAAUGCCAUUCAUUUAUAUCCGGGAGUCAGACUGCGAGUGAUAAGAUCCGUAGUCGAAAGGGAAACAGCCCAGACCACCAGCUAAGGUCCCAAAAUAUAUGUUAAGUGGAAAAGGAUGUGGGGUUGCACAGACAACUAGGAUGUUGGCUUAGAAGCAGCCACCAUUUAAAGAGUGCGUAAUAGCUCACUAGUCGAGUGACCCUGCGCCGAAAAUGUACCGGGGCUAAACAUAUUACCGAAGCUGUGGACUACACCAUUAGGUGUAGUGGUAGGAGAGCGUUCUAAGGGCGUUGAAGGUCGAUCGUGAGGACGGCUGGAGCGCUUAGAAGUGAGAAUGCCGGUAUGAGUAGCGAAAG